rnacentral:rRNA from 1 species
AUUGAACGCUGGCGGCAGGCUUAACACAUGCAAGUCGAACGAGUGGCGGACGGGUGAGUAAUGCUUGGGAAUCUAGCUUAUGGAGGGGGAUAACUACGGGAAACGGUAGCUAAUACCGCGUUCCCUAGCAUGUACCCAAGUGGGAUUAGGUAGUUGGUGAGGUAACGGCUCACCAAGCAGACGUGCGCUAGCUGGUCUGAGAGGAUGACCAGCCACACUGGGACAGAGACACGGCCGUGACUCCGACGGGAGGCAGUAGUGGGGAAUAUUGCGGAAUGGGGGGAACCUGACGCAGCCAUGCCGGGUGAAUGAAGAAGGCUUUCGGGUUGUAAAGGUCUUUCGGUAGAGAGGCGUUAACUACAGAAGAAGCACCGGCUAACUCCGUGCCAGCAGCCGCGGUAAUUC